GCUGGGCAUAGUGGCAGAUGCCUGUAAUCCCAGCUACUCAGGAGGCUGAGGCAGGAGAAUCACUUGAACCUGGGAGGUGGAGAUUGCAGUGAGCCGAGAUCACAACACUGCAAUCUAGCCUGGGUGACAGAGUGAGACUCUGUCUCAA
rnacentral:sRNA from 1 species